rnacentral:lncRNA from 1 species
GUCCAUUUAUUGAAAAAUUAUUGAAAUAUUUGGUUUCAUACGUGGAUUAAAAUCGAAUUUCAAAAUGUCUCUCUUCAAUGUGAAAAGAAGUGGUGAAUUUCCAUCAGCUCUGAAAUGAAUGUAUUGUUGGAACUACAGUCAUAAUACAAUGUCAAUUUGGCAGAUGGAAGAAGACAACAGGAGGGCAGUGACCACAGUGGCUUCUAUGAUGCUGACUUUGAAAUGAGAUAAUUUUUGCUGCAUGGGAGUACCUGGUCUUACAGCCUAGGAUAUUUUCUGACUGCCGACCACGGACACCUGAAUGAAAGUCAUUGUUUUACAAUGGAGUGGAGACCUUUGGCAGGUCAGCGAAAGUACUACCUCAUAGACUCAACCACAUCUGCCUCACACUGGUGGUGACUUCAGCAGGACCUCUGUUGGCAGUCUUCUGAGUAUCAGAAAGCCUUGUCAGGGAGUUCUUCAGUGUCUCUGCCUGGAAAGAGACAACAAAUGAUUUUUGUGGGAC